rnacentral:misc_RNA from 1 species
GAUGAAGAACGCAGCGAAAUGCGAUACGUAAUGUGAAUUGCAAAUUCAGUGAAUCAUCGAGUCUUUGAACGCACAUUGCGCCCCCUGGUAUUCCGGGGGGCAUGCCUGUUCGAGCGUCAUUUCACCACUCAAGCCUCGCUUGGUAUUGGGCAACGCGGUCCGCCGCGUGCCUCAAAUCGACCGGCUGGGUCUUCUGUCCCCUAAGCGUUGUGGAAACUAUUCGCUAAAGGGUGUUCGGGAGGCUACGCCGUAAAACAACCCCAUUUCUAAGGUUGACCUCGGAUCAGGUAGGGAUACCCGCUGAACUUAAGCAUAUCAAUAAGCGGAGGA